AUUCCUACUCUGCAACGUCGGACACUUUAAUAGUAACUGGGGAGCGAUUGCGUUCAGGGAGAUCGAGGACAAGUAUCCUGGCCAGAUCCUGACAUGUUUUCCCGGUAAGAGUUCUCUGCGGAGGCCACCUUUGGAGGACUCUGUAUAUUGAUGGAAGAGGGACCGCCCGAACCUAUCCCAAAAGUAUUGUCAUGGGAAUUAGGUGUGUGUGGGUUCCAGGAAGGGCGAGGACGGACGGCGCACUACCACAGUCCGAUGAAUGUUCUCAUCACCGACCUUUGGAGUUUUUCAGCAUGUUGGAUUUUUAAACAUGUUCAGGUUGGAAAAUUGAGAGUGUAAUGUUAACAGUAAAGUUUAACCUUUUAAGCUGGUGGAGGAAGUUCAGACCACACCUGAACUGGUACCUGAGAUGACAGCACUGAAUCUGAAGACAAAGAAGGAUCAAAUUAGAACUGACUAUUAUUAGUCACUACUUCAGAAAGUCUUUUUACCUUAUUUUGGUAUGUUUAGUUAUUACUAUGAUUUGUAUGACUUUUACAUGUGUUUGAAAAGUAACAGAAGCUAAAGGCCAUUGUACAACUGGGUAACAGUCCCGUUUUCGUUCUCUUGCAUUUGGUUUGCCAUUCUGUAGCUGUGACUCCAGCUUGCUUUAGUUGAGCCUUGUCAUUCUUCACUCUCUGCAAACCAUUCCACGGAUUUGUUUUUCUUCACAAAAUUAGUUUCAUUUUCUUUGUUUGAUUGAUGGUCAUUGGCUACUGAAAUAAAAUAUGCAUUUUAAGGU
ensembl:processed_transcript Trmt61b tRNA methyltransferase 61B